GCACAAGCGGUGGAGCAUGUGGUUUAAUUCGACGCAACGCGCAGAACCUUACCAGGGUUUGACAUCCUGUGCUCGCCGGUGAAAGCCGGUUUUCCCGCAAGGGACGCAGAGACAGGUGCUGCAUGGCUGUCGUCAGCUCGUGUCGUGAGAUGUUGGGUUAAGUCCCGCAACGAGCGCAACCCUCGCCUUUAGUUGCCAUCAUUCAGUUGGGCACUCUAGAGGGACCGCCGGCGACAAGCCGGAGGAAGGUGGGGAUGACGUCAAGUCCUCAUGGCCCUUACACCCUGGGCUACACACGUGCUACAAUGGCGGUGACAGUGGGCAGCUACUUCGCGAGGAGCGGCUAAUCCCAAAAAACCGUCCCAGUUCAGAUUGCACUCUGCAACUCGAGUGCAUGAAGGUGGAAUCGCUAGUAAUCGCAGAACAGCAGGCUGCGGUGAAUACGUUCCCGGGC
rnacentral:rRNA from 1 species